GUCGCCCUGCGCUGCGCGUGACAUCACAACAGUUUUGGGCCAACACCCAUGCCAAGGGAGCUCGGGCUUCGCGCCGGGCGCGACGUCCCGCUUUGCGGGAUAUGCAACUUGCGCGAGAGAGCACCCACCUUGCCUAUGGGUCCAAAAACUCGCGGAUGCACGGCACUUGCGGGGCCCUC
rnacentral:other from 1 species